UUUUUUUUUUUUUUUGAGGAAGAUUAGCCCUGAGCUAACUACUGCCAGUCCUAUUCAUUUUGCUGAGGAAGACUGGCCCUGAGGUAACAUCUGUGCCCAUCUUCCUCUACUUUCUGUGUGGGACGCCUAUCACAGCAUGACGUGCCAAGCAGUGCCAUGUCCACACCUGGGAUCCGAACUGGCAAACCCUGGGCCACUGAGAAGCGGAGCGUGUGAACUUAACUGCUGCACCACCAGGCAGGCCCCAAGUAGCUUCUAAUUUACCUGUGUUCCUGAAAAUGUCACCUGUCUUAAUUGCUCCCCUGCCAGAGUGAAAUAAUUAAAAUGAAGAUCUGAAAACAUUGCUCUUCUGUUGAAAAUAUUCCUGCGUGCCACAUAAAGCAGAGAUCUUUAGGAAGUGUGCCAGGGCCAACGAUCACGAAGCCUGUAUUUUCCUCUCUACCUUUGUGUCCUACUGUUUCCCCACUCAGACAGACUAGCCAUAAAAAAGUCCCCUCUAUUUCCUGAAGGCACCGUGCUGUUUUAUGCUUUCAAAUCUGUGGUGCUGUUAGCUUGCUCUUAGUGGAAGCAGAAGAUUGAGCAAUAAAAUGUCAGGCUUCUGCAGAAAGAGGGACUGUCUAACAGGCAACGGAAUGGCAUCCAUAUUUCUUUGCAGUUGGGGAUCUGUUUUCAGCUGAAGAUCUGGAAAUUACUGUUUUAUCUCAAAAAGACAGGGAUAACAGCCCUCCCUCAACUUUAGCAAAGCACACAUUAGACAAAAAAAGGGAUCAGCUAACAGACAAUGCUCAAAGGGGACAUAAAGUUGUAGGUCCAUAGAAAAAGACAGAAAUGAAUAACGGGUCGUGGCAUUUAACAGAAUGUAUUUGAGGAAAACAGUAUGUUGUAAAUGCAUUAGAUGAUAUUACUAUAUAUAAAACCCAAAAACUUAGUAAUGUUCUACAAAAAGAAUGAGAGCUUUCUAAAAUUAGGCAUAAGUACCUGACAGGACAAAUUGACUCUUCUCACACAGAACUGAAUGGACUGAGAAAGGAGUGGGAAUCAGGUACACGGAGCAGCAACAGAAAAUAACUCAGAGUGAGAAAGUGGACGGCAAGGAAAAGAAAAUUCUUAUAGCUGGACUUGGCAAUCAGUUUUCAUUAUUCCUAGUAGAGUAAAACAAUAAUUCUUAUUCUUUAGAGUAGGGAUAUUGUUUUCCCAGUAGUUUUCCUUCAUUGUUGUUACUCUUCAAAGAUUCUUAGCUAAAGAAUUAAUUCCCUGAUUUUUUCCACAAAUUAUUCAGUACUCUGAGUCACAAAGAAGGAAGUGAAAAUCCCUCAUAAAAUGUUGCUUCAGCGAAGUUUUUUCUUAUCUACUUCGGCGACUUAACAUAACCACGUGCGGGAUUGAAUGGAAAUGGCCUCUUGUUCUUUGCUUAAUCCAUUGUUAUUCCUUCCUUUAACCCAAACCAAGCAGCAUUUCUUCCUCUGUGACAUCUCCUACCACCACCCUGUAAACUCUUUCCCAGAACUCGCCACAAGCACCGUUCACCGACGCUGGGAUCAAGCGUUCAAUGCGUCGCAUCGCUGCCUCGUGCUCGUGGGAUCCCUCUCAGGAGAGCGCACACGAGCCAGACACAGCCAUGGGCUCACAGUGAGCACGCGAUGGAUGGAUGCACAAAAGACGAGCAGAGGAAGAGACAAAGGAAGGAAAGGAAUACAAAGGGAAGUAGAGAAAGAAGGAAAAAGAAGAAGGAAACAAGAAAAAGAGGAGAAAAACAGGAGGCAGAAGAGAGGAGAGAGUAGUGUUUCAAUUAAUAACCCGCCUUUUAACUGGCAUAGAAAAUAACAGCCACAGGGAAAAUAAAGGCAAAAAAUAGAAAUCCAAUAAUUUACCCUCAAGUUUACUUCUUUUUUCAAAAUCAAACAGGAUACAAAAGCAUUAUCUUCUUGUUUAAUCUUGUUUGACUAGUUUGUAAAUUCUAUGACCUGAAUACAUAAAGUACUCAAAAACAUUAAAUGAUUAGUUUUUCCUGCUUUAAUCCACCAUGUCCAAUAUCUUUCUAAAUCCUUAAUAACUAAUAAUAAUAACAUACUAUGUUUUUAGUAUGUUUUCAAGUCCUACUAACUUUACAUAAAAAGUAGAUAAUAUAACCAUAAAUACCCCUUAUGAUUUCUUUUCAAGUUUUACUGUCUUCACAUACAAAAACAGAUUAAUAGAUUUUUCACAAAGAAAAUAUUAACAAUAAUAAGAACCAUGUGUAGGUUGCUUUCUAUUUAGUCCUGCUAAAAUGUAAUUCUCUCCACUCCAUUACCAUAAAGAUGGACUGUCACUUGUACAAAUACUUUUUGAUUUUUAUUUUAAAUUUAAAAUAUACUAAAUUAUAUUUGGCUAUUAUUAGAAGGUAUGAAGCUCACUCUUCAAGGAAAUAAAAUAUAAAAUUUUAGUGAUUCAUUAGACUUCUUGUAAAAUUCAUCAUUUUAGUCCUGAGUUAAUGUUAUAGAAAGCAUUUUGCAGGAGGAGAAUACACUAACAAUAAUGCACAUUUUACCAAAAUUGUUUCAUAUAGCGCAUAGAUUUCAGAAUCAUGAGCUGCAUCUGGACUUCUUUAUCCAGAACUCUGCAUGGAACGCUUUGGUAGUUUCCAAAGACCAUAUUAAUUAUCAGUCUGCUUUUGCUAAAGAAAUCCAAUGGAUUGGACAUGAUGAAAAUGUUUCCCAGUUUUUAUACUCAAUUUUUAAUCAUUUAUAAUGUAACUUCUUUUUUGAAUCCAUCUUGUUAAUGUGGUUCAGGGGUUCAAAAAAAAUGAACUGCAAUAUCUUUUGUCUCUAGCACAAAUACCAUUGCAAACUUUUAAAAAAUAUUAAAAUACAAUUCAUUAAAAUGUAUAGUAAUUUUGAAAUGAUGACUAAGUGUUGAUAUACAAAAAGUAUGACUGCGCUCAGAAAAUAGAAGUCAUGAGAAGUGUUUGGAAAGGUAAAUUGUGAGCUUGGCUCUGGACAGAUUGAGCUUGUCUCGUAAGAACACUUGGGUAAAGGUUGUCCACAGUAAUAGUUGUGAACCUGAACCUUGAGAGAUUGGAACUAGAAAUAUAAAUUAUGUUGCCAAUAUUAAUGGAGUUAUUGUAGAAAUUGUGAGAGGUAAUAAGAUGGACCAAAGCUAGAACUCAAGAAUGGAAGAGAAGUGAAAGAGAACAUAGAAAAGAAAGGAAAAGAGAAUAGAGGCACUU
ensembl:lncRNA